CAGUAGCCGCGGUAAAACGGAGGGGGCUAGCGUUGUUCGGAAUUACUGGGCGUAAAGCGCACGUAGGCGGCUUGGUAAGUUAGAGGUGAAAGCCUGGAGCUCAACUCCAGAAUUGCCUUUAAGACUGCCGAGCUAGCAGGUGAGAGAGGUAAGUGGAAUUCCGAGUGUAGAGGUGAAAUUCGUAGAUAUUCGGAAGAACACCAGUGGCGAAGGCGGCUUACUGGCUCAUACUGGACGCUGAGGUGCGAAAGCGUGGGGAGCAAACAGGAUUAGAUACCCCUGUAGUCCCUGUCUCUUAUAC
rnacentral:rRNA from 1 species